UAACUAGGUCUUCAUGUCACUUCUCUUCCUGACAUGGACAGAGUGCUCCAUAGAAUAGAUGCCCACCAGAACAGUCCAGAGACUUUCAUCCAGUUUGUUAAAUUUAUCAAUGCCACUCUGUGACCACCUCAGCGCUAAAUCUGGCCCCAGAACUCCCCAGUGCCUUUUGUCUCCUGGACUAGAGGCAACAGGCAGAAACUGAUGCACAGAAAGUUCCAC